GGGGCGGGGGGAGCCGCGCGCCGCCAUCUUGCCGUGGCGCAGGCGCCUUUCAGCCUCGGGGAGCCGCCGCCAGCGCCGCUGCUGCUCUCGGACCGCCUGGUUUUGUCGGUGUCGGUGGGUGCGGAGGCGCGCAUAAAGAUGUUUGCGUUAUGAAACAGACCUAGCGGGCCCUCUGCCGCUUUCAUAAAGCAAGCCCUGCACCAUUGUCACAGUUCACUGGGGAGCUAUGGUUGAGACCAGUUACGAAUAACGUGAUUGAUCUGCACAACGCCAUGCAAAUAGACAUGUGGUUUGGAAAGAAGAGUGAGAAGUGAAUUAUUAACUAUAAAGCCAACAGGAUUUCGCUGAAGUGUAGUGUGCGUUGGACCAGAGCAUGCACCUGAGGUCAGACACUUGCUCUGCGGGUGUUUGUGCAGCACUUGCCACAAGAGGACUCCAGAAGUCAUCCGCUGUAGGGCUUUGUGCAAGGAGGAGCAGUCUUACCUGAGCCAUCUGGAAGCCGCAAGGCUCAGAGAGCCGCACUGGGUGCGGGAGUGCACGCGCAUGUGCUCGAGGAGCCCACAAUCGUCGACAACCCUAACAGCCCAAAGAGCAGGAUUUGACCCAGUCAAAAUCUUGUGAGUCAUGAAGGGCUGAGGCUGGCAAUAUGAUUAGUUACUUUCAACAGGUUAGUAGCAGUAGUAGGGCUAAUCAGAGAUUAUAUUAAUGAAAAAAAAUAUUCCAGCCUCAAAGUGCGUAUGAUUUUUUAGAAGAGGAAGCAGAUGAACAUGAGAAUCAGAGAGCUCAAGGUGUAAAAAGUGGGUGAAAAAUAGGAUGCAGGACAAAGAGCCCCACGAAAGGGCUGAAGAAUCCUUCUCAAUAUAAAUGCUGUUGCAGUCCAUUCAAAGUUACGUAUCACCCCGAGUAAUAUUCUGCUUCUGUCUUCCCAAAUGUAUAUAAUAACUGCAUCCAUAAGAUGCAUUGCAUGAUCUUUAAGGACAACUGGUUGUCACAAACUUCCUGUCAGUCUUAUACAGAUGAAGGCAUUUGCAGCAUCAAGGGUCAUCUAAAAAACAGCUUUUCUUUUUCCUUCAGGCCCAUGGAGAAGCUAUCUAAUGAGUUGCCUGCACCCGUUGUGACAGCACCCAUAUGUACUAUUCAGGGGCUGACCCCAGAUAACCUUGCUUAGUUUACAAGUUCUUCCAGUUUUCUGCUUGAAGAAGCUCAGCUGAAGGCAUGAUAACAGUAUGACUGCAGUGCGGUUCAGCUAGCAAUUCACUCACGUUUUUGAUGUGGCAAAGCACACCAAGCAGCUAACUUUAUGUUACUACCCACAGUGGCCCUGUGUAUGUUUUUCCUGUGCUUUAUAUCUAGUAUGUAACUGAUCGCUAGCUAGAAUUUUAAUGUCUUCUUUUCCGCGUACAAAGAUGUGUGUAUUUCAACUAUUACAUGUGAUAUUUUUUCCAGUUGGACAUUUCAAGAAGGUCAACCCAACUGCAGCAAAAUUGAUUUCAAGAUAUUUGAAUCCUUGAAGAAAAAGCUAAGACAUUCUGAAGGGAAAGAUGGUUCAGUGAAAAAUUCUAGUAAUGUUUACAUAGGAAGUAGUGUUUCAUUAUGAUAUCUGCUGUUAGGAGUUAUCUGGGGUCAUGUGCUGUUUGGGCAUAAGAAGCUGUAUUUUGUUGCUUUCCAUAGCUUAUCUGUUACGAGACAUGCUACUGAGUGACUCUGCAAAGGGACAGAAUCCAGUUUGCAGUUUCAUAACUAUUAACCAAUCUUUUUCCUGAAGCAGUUUUCUUAGAACAAGACACUGUCCUGUAUACAUUCCCGCAAGUGAGUUUCCCUUCUUUUCGAGGAGAGAAUUAGCAGGUGGGGGUAGAAAAAAGGAAUUUCUUCUGACACUCUCAUGUAUUAAAACUUCUAUACUAUAUAUAGCACAGUUGUAGUCAUUGCUGCAACUACUCUGUCGCCUAGUGAGGAUAGUCUGUUUCUAACAUUCAUUCUUACGUGGUCUAAAACUCCUCCUUUUUUGGUAGUGGAAAAAAUUUUUCUACGAGGCUAAGGGCUAUUAAGAAGACUCAGAGGAUGAAUAAUCAUUCUCCACAGUGCUUUUUGCUGACAGAUCUUUGUUGUUUUCUAGACCUUGGCAUCUAUGUCAUUUAGCCCUACCAGCUCAGAUAUCUUAGAGAAACUAAGAUAUCUUACUUAGAGAAACUUAGAGAAAAUAUAUCUUAAGAGAAAAGAUCUAUCAUUAUUAAAAAAAUUACACACAUACACACUCAUGCAGAUAAAAAUAUAAAAAUAGAUGGUCUGUCAGUGAAGUGUGCUAACAAAAACUAAGAGCUUUUUAGAGAGUAAUACAAACAUGGAAAAAAACUACCAAGAAAACGAUAACUAAUAGGAAAAAUAAAUUAUGGACAUAGAUGUAAAGAUUAAGAAAUAGGAGAGCGGUCUUGGGAAAAAUAUGGAAAGUCAGUGUACUAAACAGAACAAAGGUAAAUGAAACUUGAGAAUACAUUAAUUCAGCCAUAAAGAGUAGGCAGAUGUUAAAAUGAUGACAAUAGCAAUGUGGCACUCAUAACUAUAUACAAAAACAUCCGGUACCUAUCUUUCACUGUAAGCUUUUUGUCACUGAGACUAAAACUUCUAUAGACUUUGUAAUAUUGUUUUAAAAAGCCUACAUACUAAAAAUAUCUGUGGUUUAAUUU